rnacentral:misc_RNA from 1 species
GGAAGGAUCAUUCACACGACGUAUCCAGAUUUUGUGAACAUUAUUUCUCGCGAUGUACUAGCUUCGCAAGCUCUUACUAUGCGGCCCUGCGACAUUCCCUAAUUUGAUGAUGAUGCUGAUAAUAUGCAGCCUUUAAUCGUUGUCAAAUAUGGCAAUGAUGCAAAAUCUGUGCUGCUCAUCACUUGUAAGUAAUAUAUAUAUGUACAUCUAGGGGGUCGCUGCUUUUUGAAUAACGCCAUUAGUACAAUUCCGGUUUUUGAAUGACGCUGGUUUUUGAAUAACGGUUGGAAUCAGGACACCAGUCCAUUCCAAUAGAAUUUUUGGAAAACGGCGAUUAUAUUCUAAAGUGAGCGACUCACAGAGGUACAUAUAUAUAUCACUGCAAGGUACAGGAUAUGGCACUGUCGUGCUGUGUUUUGGGUGGGAAUUUUCAUCUUGUUUUUGUCAAAUUUCAAAAGAAUUUGUCAUAAACUAUCAGCGAUGGAUGUCUUGGUUCUCGCAACGAUGAAGGACGCAGCAAAAUGUGAUAGUCAAUGUGAAUUGCAGAAUUCAGUGAAUCAUCAGGUUGCUGAACGCAGACGGCACUUCUGGGUUCCCAGAAGUAUGUCUAUCUCAGUAUUUCUUUAAAUCUCUAAUGCCUUUUCGCAAGGUUUAGAGGCAAGAGCCGGCUGCAUAAUUCAUUGUAUGUGGUAGGCUUCGAUGUUCCAUGAAUUUUGAAAGUAUAUAGCAUAUUCGCACUUUCAGUGACCCAGCGUUGCAUAGCUUUCAAAUCGAAUGGUCCUUUUUCCCUGAAUCUGAGAUUAGACAAGGCUACCCGCUGAAUUUAAGCAUAUAAUUAAGCGGAGGAAAAGAAACUAACUAGGAUUCCCUUAGUAAUGGCGAAUGAACAGGGAAGAGCACAACAUGAAAAUCAGGGGUCUUGAGCUUCUGAAUUGUAGUCUCUAAAAUUUUGUCCAGGCAAAGCGCAGGGGUAAGUCUCUUGGAAAAGAGCGUCAAAGAGGGUGAGAACCCCGUCUAUACUCUGCAGCCUUUGCUGUACGGACUUUUUUUUACGAGUCGCGUUCCUUGGGAUUGGAGCGCAAAGUGGGUGGUAAAUUUCAUCUAAUGCUAAAUAUUGGCGAGAGACCGAUAGCGAACAAGUACUGUGAAGGAAAGAUGAAAAGAACUUUGAAAAGAGAGUUAAAAGUGCCUGAAAUUGCUGGUAGGGAAGCGAAUGGAAUUGCAUUUCUUGCAAAGAUUGUGGAUUGCGAAAGUGUACGUACUUUUCAUACCGUAAGGGUGGAAGGUAUUGCAGCCAAGUGAUCUAUUACUCUCUGCAGGAUUGUCAGCAUCAGUUGCAUGCGCAAGAAAACAUACAAAGAGGAUGAAUCCUCCGGGGUUGCUAAGCUUUGUACUGACCUUGCACAUUCUCUUGAGGAAUGCAGGCGGGUUCGCACUCUCGAGUAACCUGUCCUUCAGAUGCUGGCUAAGCGGUUCCAUCCGACCCGUCUUGAAACACGGACCAAGGAAUCUAAAAUAUGUGCGAGUAUGCAGGCGGUAAACCUGUAUGCGCAAUGAAAGUAAAAGUUGGGAUCUUUGCACCAACGACUGACCAUGAUCUUCGGAGAGAGGUUUGAGUAAGAGCACAUCUGUUAGGACCCGAAAGAUGGUGAACUAUGCCUGAGUAGGGUGAAGCCAGGGGAAACCCUGGUGGAGGCUCGUAGCGAUACUUGACGUGCAAAUCGUUCGUCGAACUUGGGUAUAGGGGCGAAAGACUAAUCGAACCAUCUAGUAGCUGGUUCCCUC